rnacentral:rRNA from 1 species
AGAGUUUGAUCAUGGCUCAGGACGAACGCUGGCGGCGUGCUUAACACAUGCAAGUCGAACGAUGAACCACUUCGGUGGGGAUUAGUGGCGAACGGGUGAGUAACACGUGGGCAAUCUGCCCUUCACUCUGGGACAAGCCCUGGAAACGGGGUCUAAUACCGGAUAACACCUCCACUCUCCUGAGUGGAGGUUAAAAGCUCCGGCGGUGAAGGAUGAGCCCGCGGCCUAUCAGCUUGUUGGUGAGGUAAUGGCUCACCAAGGCGACGACGGGUAGCCGGCCUGAGAGGGCGACCGGCCACACUGGGACUGAGACACGGCCCAGACUCCUACGGGAGGCAGCAGUGGGGAAUAUUGCACAAUGGGCGAAAGCCUGAUGCAGCGACGCCGCGUGAGGGAUGACGGCCUUCGGGUUGUAAACCUCUUUCAGCAGGGAAGAAGCGAAAGUGACGGUACCUGCAGAAGAAGCGCCGGCUAACUACGUGCCAGCAGCCGCGGUAAUACGUAGGGCGCAAGCGUUGUCCGGAAUUAUUGGGCGUAAAGAGCUCGUAGGCGGCUUGUCACGUCGGGUGUGAAAGCCCGGGGCUUAACCCCGGGUCUGCAUUCGAUACGGGCUAGCUAGAGUGUGGUAGGGGAGAUCGGAAUUCCUGGUGUAGCGGUGAAAUGCGCAGAUAUCAGGAGGAACACCGGUGGCGAAGGCGGAUCUCUGGGCCAUUACUGACGCUGAGGAGCGAAAGCGUGGGGAGCGAACAGGAUUAGAUACCCUAGUAGUCC